rnacentral:snoRNA from 1 species
UACUGGGUCACUGUGGUAGUCUCCCUUCCUAGCCAUGGAAGAGCAUUUUCUUGUUUAUUGGCAAAGCUGUCACCAUUUAAUUGGUAUCAGAUUCUGACUUGCACAAGUGACAUUC